rnacentral:rRNA from 1 species
AUUGAACGCUGGCGGCAGGCCUAACACAUGCAAGUCGAACGAGUGGCGGACGGGUGAGUAAUGUCUGGGAAACUGCCCGAUGGAGGGGGAUAACUACUGGAAACGGUAGCUAAUACCGCAUACCAUCGGAUGUGCCCAGAUGGGAUUAGCUUGUAGGUGAGGUAACGGCUCACCUAGGCGACGAUGCCUAGCUGGUCUGAGAGGAUGACCAGCCACACUGGAACUGAUACACGGUCCAGACUCCUACGGGAGGCAGCAGUGGGGAAUAUUGCACACGGGGCGCAAGCCUGUGGUAGCCAUGCGGGGUGUAUGAAGAAGGCCUUCGGGUUGUAACGUACUUUCAGCGGGGAGGCGUUACCCGCAGUAGAUGCUCCGGCGAACUCCGUGCCAGCCGCCGCUGUAAUAC